rnacentral:rRNA from 2 species
CCUGGCGGCCGUAGCGCGGUGGUCCCACCUGACCCCAUGCCGAACUCAGAAGUGAAACGCCGUAGCGCCUAUGGUAGUGUGGGGUCUCCCCAUGCGAGAGUAGGGAACUGCCAGGC